CCGUCGAUAGCUCAGUUCAUGAGCGGGAGACUGUAGCGGUUAAAUCACUGAUAUCUCUAGGUCGCUGGUUCGAAUCCGACUCGACGGA
rfam:Strongylocentrotus purpuratus Contig24620_fixed, whole genome shotgun sequence.